AUACAGCGAAGAUUUCAGAGAUGAGAUUGUGCCUUCGGGAACGCUGAUACAGGUGCUGCAUGGCNUGUCGUCAGCUCGUGUCGUGAGAUGUUGGGCUAAGUCCCGUAACGAGCGCAACCCUUAUCCUUAGUUGCCAGCGCGUAAAGGCGGGAACUCUAAGGAGACUUGCCGGUGACAAACCGGAGGAAGGCGGGGACGACGUCAAGUCAUCAUGGCCCUUACGGGUAGGGCUACACACGUGCUACAAUGGUUAGUACAGAGGGAAGCGAAGCGGCGACGUGGAGCAAAAAAAUAAAAAGCUAAUCGUAGUCCGGAUUGGAGUCUGCAACUCGACUCCAUGAAGUCGGAAUCGCUAGUAAUCGCGAAUCAGCAUGUCGCGGUGAAUACGUUCCCGGGCCUUGUGCACACCGCCCGUCACACCAUGGGAGUGGGCUGCACCAGAAGCAGAUAGUCUA
rnacentral:rRNA from 1 species